UUUUNAGGGAGGAAUAAAUGACGUGUACCUGAGGAAUAAGCAUCGGCUAACUCCGUGCCAGCAGCCGCGGUAAGACGGAGGAUGCAAGUGUUAUCCGGAAUCACUGGGCGUAAAGCGUCUGUAGGUGGUCCAAUAAGUCAACUGUUAAAUCUUGAGGCUCAACCUCAAAAUCGCAGUCGAAACUAUUAGACUAGAGUAUAGUAGGGGUAAAGGGAAUUUCCAGUGGAGCGGUGAAAUGCGUAGAGAUUGGAAAGAACACCGAUGGCGAAGGCACUUUACUGGGCUAUUACUAACACUCAGAGACGAAAGCUAGGGUAGCAAAUGGGAUUAGAUACCCCAGUAGUCCUAGCCGUAAACAAUGGAUACUAGAUGUUGAACAGAUCGACCUGUGCAGUAUCAAAGCUAACGCGUNA
rnacentral:rRNA from 1 species